rnacentral:rRNA from 1 species
UUUAAUUGAAGAGUUUGAUCAUGGCUCAGAUUGAACGCUGGCGGCAGGCCUAACACAUGCAAGUCGGGCGGUAACAGGGAGAAGCUUGCUUCUCU